GGCGCUAUAGCCAAGUGGUUACGGCGACAGAUUCGAAGGUUGGUAUCUGUUCCUCUUUGAGGGCGUAGGUUCAAAUCCUGCUGGCGUCG